GACGAACGCUGGCGGCGUGCUUAACACAUGCAAGUCGAACGGUGACCUCGAGAGCUUGCUCUCGAGUGAUCAGUGGCGAACGGGUGAGUAACACGUGAGUAACCUGCCCCAGACUCUGGAAUAACCCCGGGAAACCGGAGCUAAUACCGGAUACGAGACGGAGUCGCAUGGCUACCGUCUGGAAAGUUUUUCGGUCUGGGAUGGACUCGCGGCCUAUCAGCUUGUUGGUGAGGUAACGGCUCACCAAGGCGACGACGGGUAGCCGGCCUGAGAGGGCGACCGGCCACACUGGGACUGAGACACGGCCCAGACUCCUACGGGAGGCAGCAGUGGGGAAUAUUGCACAAUGGGCGAAAGCCUGAUGCAGCGACGCCGCGUGAGGGAUGACGGCCUUCGGGUUGUAAACCUCUUUCAGCAGGGAAGAAGCGAAAGUGACGGUACCUGCAGAAAAAGCACCGGCUAACUACGUGCCAGCAGCCGCCGUAAAAC
rnacentral:rRNA from 1 species